CAGGUAGGCUGUUUUACAAGUCUGACGUGAAAUCCCAGGGCUCAACCCUGGAACUGCGUUGGAAACUGUAUGACUGGAGUACCGGAGAGGUGAGGGGAAUUCUCGGUGUAAGGGUGAAAUCUGUAGAUAUCGAGAGGAACACCAGUGGCGAAGGCGCCUCACUGGCCGGUUACUGACGCUGAGCUGCGAAAGCAAGGGGAGCAAACA
rnacentral:rRNA from 1 species